CUUAUAUUAGCUGACUUUAACAGGGUUGACCCAUUCUCAAGGGUACGAUAUGCUCUUCAUUUUUGCAAUGGAGGUCAGAGAACUGCAUUAUCUCCUCUAUCUGUCAAUAGUAGGUCUUCUGAAUGUCUUGCCCACAGAUUGUUACAAGAUCAAGCUGGUUGGACCGACCAGAUGCUCUGGUAGAGUGGAGAUCAAUCAUGCCGACACUUGGGGAACAGUAUGUGAUGAUUACUGGAACUUGCUCAAUGCUG